rnacentral:misc_RNA from 1 species
UCAAACUUGGUCAUUUAGAGGAAGUAAAAGUCGUAACAAGGUCUCCGUUGGUGAACCAGCGGAGGGAUCAUUACAGAGUUGCAAAACUCCAAACCCUUUGUGAACUUACCUAUAACGUUGCUUCGGUAGGCAGCCCCAGGGCGGGGCUAUGGCCUUUAUGGUGCCUACCGGAGGUAUUUUUAACGCUGUUUUUAUUGCUACACUUCUGAGUAAAAGACAAAAUAAGUCAAAACUUUCAGCAACGGAUCUCUUGGUUCUGGCAUCGAUGAAGAACGCAGC